UACGAAGGGGGCUAGCGUUGCUCGGAAUCACUGGGCGUAAAGCGCACGUAGGCGGAUUGUUAAGUCAGGGGUGAAAUCCCAGAGCUCAACUCUGGAACUGCCUUUGAUACUGGCAAUCUCGAGUCCGGAAGAGGUGAGUGGAACUCCUAGUGUAGAGGUGGAAUUCGUAGAUAUUAGGAAGAACACCAGUGGCGAAGGCGGCUCACUGGUCCGGAACUGACGCUGAGGUGCGAAAGCGUGGGGAGCAAACAGG
rnacentral:rRNA from 1 species